rnacentral:rRNA from 1 species
GACGAACGCUGGCGGCGUGCUUAACACAUGCAAGUCGAACGCUGAAGCUCAGCUUUUGUUGGGUGGAUGAGUGGCGAACGGGUGAGUAACACGUGAGUAACCUGCCCCCUUCUUUGGGAUAACGCCCGGAAACGGGUGCUAAUACUGGAUAUUCACUGGUCUUCGCAUGGGGGUUGGUGGAAAGGGUUUUUCUGGUGGGGGAUGGGCUCGCGGCCUAUCAGCUUGUUGGUGGGGUGAUGGCCUACCAAGGCUUUGACGGGUAGCCGGCCUGAGAGGGUGACCGGUCACAUUGGGACUGAGAUACGGCCCAGACUCCUACGGGAGGCAGCAGUGGGGAAUAUUGCACAAUGGGCGCAAGCCCGAUGCAGCGACGCCGCGUGAGGGAUGGAGGCCUUCGGGUUGUGAACCUCUUUCGCUCAUGGUCAAGCCGCAACAAUGGUUGUGGUGAGGGUAGUGGGUAAAGAAGCGCCGGCUAACUACGUG